AAUAUUAUGAAUAAUAAUAAUGUGAUGUUUAUAUUUUUAUUUAGGGAAAACUUUAAAUACCAUCUAUGUGGUUUUGUAUUUUCCCACUUUAUUACUCUGUAGUUUAAAGCGCAUUACUUUCGUAUUCUGUGAUUUUAAUUUUUUUCUUUUUAUUAUCUUCUUCAUUAAGUUUUUCAUUAAAUCAGUGACAAGGUUAAAAUUAAAAGAUACUAAAGUAAAAAUCUGAAGUUUUUUUGUAUAUGAUUUAAUGAAAAGUUAAUGAAGAGAUGAUGAAAAGAGAAAAAUAAAACCAUUGAGUCAUUCGGUCUAAAUGCUACAUGAAGAACAUAAGCCAGAUGACGGGAUGGGAAGAUGAUGGAACAGGGAGACCUAGGAUGUAGAAGAUCAUAACAAGUGAUUUGGCAGAUUUGGAUUCCUAUAUAUCCACUCAUGUGGUACUUCAUCAUACGAUUCAUAUAAGAUCCAUCUGUCUAGAUAUCAUCAUAUACAUCUAGAAGUACUAAAUUAAUACACUUUAAAAUAUAUAGUACUAAACUGAGAAAGUGUGAAACCACAUGGGUAGUAUUUAAAGUUGACCUUUUUAUUUAU
rnacentral:lncRNA from 1 species